rnacentral:rRNA from 1 species
GGUCCGGCUAAUUACGUGCCAGCAGCCGCGGUAAUACGUAAGGACCGAGCGUUGUCCGGAAUCAUUGGGCGUAAAGAGUACGUAGGCGGUAAGAUAAGUUAGAAGUAAAAGGCACCGGCUCAACCGGCGUAAGCUUUUAAAACUGUUUUACUUGAGACAUUGAGGGGAAAGUGGAAUUUCUAGUGUAGCGGUGAAAUGCGCAGAUAUUAGGAAGAAUACCAGAGGCGAAAGCGACUUUCUAGCGAUGAUCUGACGCUGAGGUACGAAAGCGUGGGGAGCAAACAGGCUUAGAUACCCUGGUAGUCCACGCUGUAAACGGUGGGUACUAGGUGUGGGAUCCAUUCCACGGAUUCUGUGCCGUAGCUAACGCAUUAAGUACCCCGCCUGGGGAGUACGGCCGCA